ACAGGCAGGUGAGGAGGCUGGUUUAGGUCGAUCAGGUAAGGUGUGGGGGAGAGGGAGAGAGAGCAGGUGAGGUUAGUGUUGGAAUGUCAUUGAUCCUGAAGGUAAGGGAGAGAUGGUUUGUUUUGUUUUCGUGCGGGAUUUCAAUAUUUCUUGCAUUUAUGGAGUGUGAGGAAGGGAAAGGAAUUGAUAGCAGGAUAUUAAAAGCAAGAAGGUAAGGAAAAGGAAAAGAGUAUGAGAGUAUGUGAGGUAAGGAUGGUUUGUUUUGUAUUGAGAUUUUCUUGCGGGAUUUCAAUAUUUCUUGCAUAUAUGGAGUGUGAGGAAGUGAAAGGAAUUGAUUGCAGGAUAUUAAAAGCAAGAAAGUAAGGAAAACGAGAAGAGUAUGAAAGCAAGAGGAGAUAACGAAUGUAAAAAUAAAAAACAGAAAAGGUAAAGAAGGGAACGGAAGUGAUGGCAAGGUAUUGAAAGAAUGUUAACGAGAGAAAAUAAAAGUAAAGCCAGGAAAGAUAAGGCGUAUGGAAUAAAGAGGAGAGAAAGAAUAGGAAGUGAGGAAAGGAGAGUAAGAAGUGGAAGGCAUUAGGGGGAAAUUAAAAGAAAAGAAAAACUAGAGAAAGACGAGAUAAGAGGGGAAAAAAAUAAGCGACAGAGACAGAGACAGAGAGCAAGGCCAAUCAUCUCCACCAACAGAGAUAGAAAUAAAAAAGAUAUAAAAAGCCGGAACAUAUGCCAUUUAAUCUCUACCUCCUCCUCCUCCUCCUCCUCCUCCCCCUCCCCCACCUCCUCCUCCUCCUCCUCCCCCAUUCAUCACUGCCGCCACCGACACUCCCCGCCCGAGCGAGAGGCGUUAACUCGAUCGUGUAUUUAUGAUGGUCUGAGUCAGGGAGAGAGAGAGAGAGAGAGAGAGAGAGAGAGAGAGAGAGAGAGAGAGAGAGAGAGAGAGAGAGAGAGAGAGAGAGAGAGAGAGGGAGAGAGAGAGAGAGAGAGA